rnacentral:lncRNA from 1 species
ACAAACUGAAUAUGUUUCAAGAAAAAUAUUAAAUGAAGUUUUAAAGGUAAAUAAUGUUGAUUACAAAUUAAUAUAAAGGUGGAGCUGGAGGAGGAGGAGGAGGAGAUCCUGGAGGAGGCUGGUGGUUAUACGGCCAAAAAAGAUUAGGCGCACAUGUUCCACUAUUUGUCAUGUUCAUUAGCAUUUCGCGAAGCUGUUCAUAAGCCGCUUUUUGUUGUUCAUGAGCCGCUUCAUACUCCGCCUUUUGUUGUGCUUGAGACGCUUUGAGUUGCUCAGACUCCGCUCUUUGUUUCGCUCUUUGUUGUGCAUGAGACGCUUUGAGUUGUGCGUACUCCGCUUUUAGGUGAUCGUAUAUCUCGGUGAGCUGAGCCGUGUGUUGCUGCAAGGCCACGAACUCCU